UACGUAGGUGGCAAGCGUUGUCCGGAUUUACUGGGCGUAAAGAGCGCGCAGGCGGUCGAAUAAGUCGAAUGUGAAAGCCCCCCGGCUUAACUGGGGGAGGGUCAUUCGAUACUGCUCGACUUGAAGGCAGGAGAGGGUAGUGGAAUUCCCGGUGUAGUGGUGAAAUGCGUAGAUAUCGGGAGGAAUACCAGUGGCGAAGGCGGCCUGCUGGGCCACGACCGACACUGAGGUGCGAAAGCGUGGGGAGCGAACCGG
rnacentral:rRNA from 1 species